UACAGAGGUCCCAAGCGUUACUGAGAAUCACUGGGGUUAAAGGGUGCGUAGGUGGUCCGUUAAGUCAGUUGUGAAAUCCCCGGGCUCAACCCGGGAACUGCUUCUGAUACUGGCGGACUUGAGGCCAGUAGGGGUCACUAGAACUGACGGUGGAGCGGUGAAAUGCGUAGAUAUCGUCAGGAAUGCCGGUGGUGAAGACGGGUGACUGGGCUGGUUCUGACGCUGAGGCACGAAAGCGUGGGGAGCGAACGGG
rnacentral:rRNA from 1 species